ACAGGUAGGGUAUAUAAACCUAAACAGGUAGGGCAUAUAAAGCUAAACAGGUAGGGUAAAUAAAGCUAAACAGGUAGGGUAUAUAAAGCUAAACAGGUAGGAUAAAUAAAGCUAAACAGGUAGGGUAAAUAAAGCUAAACAGGUAGGGUAAAUAAAGCUAAACAGGUAGGGUAUAUAAAGCUAAACAGGUAGGGCAUAUAAACCUAA